rnacentral:tRNA from 1 species
GGAUAAGUAGUUUAAGUUUAAACCAUAACACUGAAAAUGUUAAAAUGGUACAACACCCUCUUCCA